UGUUGCGUUAUCGCUUACAGAUGGGCCUGCGGCUCAUUAGCUAGUUGGUAUGGUAGCGGCUUACGAAGGCAACGAUGGGUAGCCGGCCUGAGCGGGUGGUCGGACUAGACUGGGACUGAAAUACGGCACAGACUCCUACGGGAGGCAAUAGUAAGGAAUAUUGAGUAAUGGUCGCAAGACUGACGCAACAACGCCGCGUGGAUGAUGAAGCUCUAUGGAGUGUAUCGUCCUGUUAGAAGGUAAGAACAGUACGGAGUCAAAGCUUCGUGCAUGACGGUACCUUCAGAGCAAGCCCCGGCUAACUCCGUGCCAACAGCCGCAGUAAUACUGGGGGGGAAAGCGUUGUCCUGAAUUACUGGGCGUAAAGGGCGCGUAGUUGGAAUUGCAUGUUAGAGGUGACAGCCAGCACCUUAACUGCUGGUCUGCCUUUAAUACUGCAGUUCUUGAGAGCGAAAGAGGGAAGCGGAAUUCUUGGUGUAGCGGUGAAAUGUGUAGAUAUCAAGAAGAACACCGGUAGCGUAGGCGGCUUCCUGGUUCGUAACUUACACUGAGGCGUGAAAGUGUGGGGAGCAAACAGGAUUAGAUACCCUGGUAGUCCACACCGUAAACGAUGGAUACUAGGUGUUGGGUUUCACGACUCAGUGCCGAAGUUAACGCAUUAAGUAUCCCGCCUGGGGAGUACGAUCUCAAGGUUGAAACUCAAAGGAAUUGACGGGGGACCGCACAAGCGGUGGAGCAUGUGGUUUAAUUCGAUGCAACGCGAAGAGCCUUACCGGGGUUUGAAAUGCAGUUGCUCUCCGUUGAAAGACGGAUUUCCUUCGGGACAACUGUACAGGUGCUGCAUGGCUGUCGUCAGCUCGUGCCGUGAGGUGUUGGGUUAAGUCCCGCAACGAGCGCAACCCUUGUCCUGAGUUGCUCUCAGGUCAAGCUGAGAACUCUAAGGAGACUGCCUCGCAUCACGAGGAGGAAGGUGGGGAUGACGUCAAGUCCUCAUGGCCCUUACAUCCCGGGCUACACACGUGCUACAAUGGGCAGUUCAACGGGAAGCGAUAUCGUGAGGUGGAGCAAAUCCCUUAAA
rnacentral:rRNA from 1 species